UAUACAUUGGGACAACCCGGAUUAAUUAUGAUAAUUUAAGGCCAAGAUUUUUCCGGGAUUUGAAGUCGGGACUUUUGACCAUUUGAUUUUAAUUUGAGAUAUAAGUCAUGUAUGAAAUUGAUGGCAUUGAACACUUAGGGAAAAUUGGGACUACAAUUCAUAAAAUUGGAAUUAAAAUGUUGUGCAAAAAAAUAAAAAAUAAAAAAUAAAUUCCUUGGUGGCCAUGUAAAUGGGAAUUGGUCCCACACAUUGUGUGGCCAAUUUUAAUUGGUCCACUCCAUGUGUGGGCCAAGGACACUUGGACAACAACUAUAUGAGCCUAAAGUAUGACCAAGUAGUCAUCUUUUCCCCAUUGCAAGACUUAGAAAAAAAAAUCAAGGAGUUGAAGACCACCUUCAACACCCCUCUCGGCUACAAACCAAGAAAAACCAAAUCCAAAUCAAGCCACCCCAAAAUUAUUUCCUUGGUAUAAAUCAACUAUUUAGAAGUCCCUAAGUAACGUGGAAGAGUUGUUUGGGUCAUCCAACCACUAGUUGUGCCCAAUUGCAAACCCUAACUAUUGAAGGAAGUGAAGAAGGAAGACCUUGGGCAGCCCGAAUCAUAGUUUGGACUUAGCUUGAGUUGGAUCAUAUUGGAGAGCGUUUGAGGUACAGACGCACAGCCUGGUGAUCCACCUGUUUAGGACACCCUUUCUGCUAUUCGGAGUGCUCCUCUCUUUCCGGAGCUUAUACUUUUGGUAUAUAUAUUUAUUAGUGCAUUUGUAUAUAUUCGUUCAUGGGUACGGCGGGGCCCUGUCCCGUCAUAUGAUUAUGUCGGUCUGUUUAGAGGUCUGUGGACAUGUUUGUGGGUUAGGG